rnacentral:rRNA from 1 species
AUUUGUUCUUUAAAUGGGGACUUGUAUCAACGGCACCACGAGGGCCAUACUGUCUCCUUUCUCUAGUCAGUGAAACUGAUCUCCCCGUGAAGAAGCGGGGAUUUAACUAUUAGACGAGAAGACCCCAUGGAGCUUAAAACUCAUCAUAUAAUUCUGUACCUCAUACCACCUUAAUUCAGAAUCCUAUAUGCUAGUUUUAGGUUGGGGGGACCUCGGAGUAUAAUUUAACCUCCGUAACAAAUGGGCUAAUACCCUUAUCCAAGAUAAACACCUCUAAGAAUUAUUAAAUUAAUGUUUAAUGACCCGAUAUAUUCGAUCAAUGAACCAAGUUACCCUGGGGAUAACAGCGCAAUCUACUUCAAGAGUCCAUAUCGACAAGUAG